GGAAGAUGGUGGACUAGGCUAGGCUCUAGUUAAAAGGUGGAGAAAGGAGUAGGGAAGAUGCUAGGCUAGGCUCUAGUUAAAAUGUGGAGAAAGGAGUAGGGAAGAUAGUAGGCUAGGCUCUUUUUAAAAGGUGGAGAAAGGAGUAGGGAAGAUAUUAGGCUAGGCUCUAGUUAAAAUGUGGAGAAAGAAAUAGGGAAGAUGGUAGGCUAGGAUCUAGUUAAAAUGUGGAGAAAGGAGUAGGGAAGAUGGUAGGC